CCACUGAUUUGCUCGGCACGCAAACUCAUAUAUUCGUUUUGACGUGACAGAAUGACGGCGAAGAAAGGGUUGCUUUCGCUUCGUGUUCCACCACAUGAAAAGAAAUGCAAGAAACCUACCUUGAUCUUUGUGCACGGCACGACUGCCUCGAAUUUUUGGAACCCCGGCAUGAAUUGGUGGUGGCGGUGACAGAUGGAAGAGGGCGCCGGUUGAGAUCUUGGGUCCCCCUGAUCUCAGGACGUUGCGCCGCCCCUGACUGGAUCCAAGCGUUAUUUUGUCGCCGUCGUUGUCAUUGGAGAGAGAGAGAUACAUGAUGACGAUGAUAUGGGGAUGACUUCCGCACAUUGAGCGUCGUCAUUGGAGGUUUCUAUAGAUGUCCUCAGAACGGAAGCUACGAGACUGGAAAAGCUCCCGUUGGACUAAUUGGCUCAUUUCCUAACCUUUCCGUCGGUCGCCUCCUUUCGAAAGACAUUCACUGAGCGCUCCAACUCAGUUCAUUCAUGGAAUUUCGGCCAGCCAUUGCGCUGCUCUACUGACUUUAUCCGAGUAAAAAUGUGUCUACUGUA